CGCCCACUGAAUGUACUGAAUGGGCCCUGGCAUAGCUUUGCGCUGGGAUUUGGGCUCAGGAAAGCCCCCGGGCCGUGAUCUGCAGAGAUGCAGUCUCGAAGAUUUUGAGAACCGGAGUUCUAGGCUGAGACGCAUGCGGAGCCUCCGUAGACUCUGGCCCGAAGUUGCAUUGGCCGACCGUCAGAGUCAUUCACUAGGCCCUUACAUCAUCGUAUGGGCAAACCGAACGGGGCUUACACUUCAGUGGUC
rnacentral:RNase_MRP_RNA from 1 species